AGCAGUCGCCGCGGUAAUACGUAGGUGGCAAGCGUUGUCCGGAAUUAUUGGGCGUAAAGGGCUCGCAGGCGGUUUCUUAAGUCUGAUGUGAAAGCCCCCGGCUCAACCGGGGAGGGUCAUUGGAAACUGGGAAACUUGAGUGCAGAAGAGGAGAGUGGAAUUCCACGUGUAGCGGUGAAAUGCGUAGAGAUGUGGAGGAACACCAGUGGCGAAGGCGACUCUCUGGUCUGUAACUGACGCUGAGGAGCGAAAGCGUGGGGAGCGAACAGGAUUAGAUACCCGGGUAGUCCCUGUCUCUUAUAC
rnacentral:rRNA from 1 species